UGCAAGUCGAACGGCAGCACGGGUGCUUGCACCUGGUGGCGAGUGGCGAACGGGUGAGUAAUACAUCGGAACAUGUCCUGUAGUGGGGGAUAGCCCGGCGAAAGCCGGAUUAAUACCGCAUACGAUCUACGGAUGAAAGCGGGGGACCUUCGGGCCUCGCGCUAUAGGGUUGGCCGAUGGCUGAUUAGCUAGUUGGUGGGGUAAAGGCCUACCAAGGCGACGAUCAGUAGCUGGUCUGAGAGGACGACCAGCCACACUGGGACUGAGACACGGCCCAGACUCCUACGGGAGGCAGCAGUGGGGAAUUUUGGACAAUGGGCGAAAGCCUGAUCCAGCAAUGCCGCGUGUGUGAAGAAGGCCUUCGGGUUGUAAAGCACUUUUGUCCGGAAAGAAAUCCUUGGCUCUAAUACAGUCGGGGGAUGACGGUACCGGAAGAAUAAGCACCGGCUAACUACGUGCCAGCAGCCGCGGUAAUACGUAGGGUGCGAGCGUUAAUCGGAAUUACUGGGCGUAAAGCGUGCGCAGGCGGUUUGCUAAGACCGAUGUGAAAUCCCCGGGCUCAACCUGGGAACUGCAUUGGUGACUGGCAGGCUAGAGUAUGGCAGAGGGGGGUAGAAUUCCACGUGUAGCAGUGAAAUGCGUAGAGAUGUGGAGGAAUACCGAUGGCGAAGGCAGCCCCCUGGGCCAAUACUGACGCUCAUGCACG
rnacentral:rRNA from 1 species